UACGUAGGGGGCAAGCGUUGUCCGGAUUUAUUGGGCGUAAAGAGCGUGUAGGCGGCCUGACAAGUCUGCUGUGAAAACUCGAGGCUCAACCUCGAGAUGUCGGCGGAAACUGUCUGGCUAGAGUCCGGAAGAGGAGAGUGGAAUUCCUGGUGUAGCGGUGAAAUGCGCAGAUAUCAGGAAGAACACCUAUGGCGAAGGCAGCUCACUGGGACGGUACUGACGCUGAGACGCGAAAGCGUGGGGAGCAAACAGG
rnacentral:rRNA from 1 species